rnacentral:rRNA from 1 species
AGGUUAAUGAGGCGAACCGGGGGAACUGAAACAUCUAAGUACCCCGAGGAAAAGAAAUCAACCGAGAUUCCCCCAGUAGCGGCGAGCGAACGGGGAGCAGCCCAGAGCCUGAAUCAGUAUGUGUGUUAGUGGAAGCGUCUGGAAAGGCGCGCGAUACAGGGUGACAGCCCCGUACACAAAAAUGCACAUGCUGUGAGCUCGAUGAGUAGGGCGGGACACGUGGUAUCCUGUCUGAAUAUGGGGGGACCAUCCUCCAAGGCUAAAUACUCCUGACUGACCGAUAGUGAACCAGUACCGUGAGGGAAAGGCGAAAAGAACCCCGGCGAGGGGAGUGAAAAAGAACCUGAAACCGUGUACGUACAAGCAGUGGGAGCACGCUUAGGCGUGUGACUGCGUACCUUUUGUAUAAUGGGUCAGCGACUUAUAUUCUGUAGCAAGGUUAACCGAAUAGGGGAGCCGAAGGGAAACCGAGUCUUAACUGGGCGUUAAGUUGCAGGGUAUAGACCCGAAACCCGGUGAUCUAGCCAUGGGCAGGUUGAAGGUUGGGUAACACUAACUGGAGGACCGAACCGACUAAUGUUGAAAAAUUAGCGGAUGACUUGUGGCUGGGGGUGAAAGGCCAAUCAAACCGGGAGAUAGCUGGUUCUCCCCGAAAGCUAUUUAGGUAGCGCCUCGUGAAUUCAUCUCCGGGGGUAGAGCACUGUUUCGGCAAGGGGGUCAUCCCGACUUACCAACCCGAUGCAAACUGCGAAUACCGGAGAAUGUUAUCACGGGAGACACACGGCGGGUGCUAACGUCCGUCGUGAAGAGGGAAACAACCCAGACCGCCAGCUAAGGUCCCAAAGUCAUGGUUAAGUGGGAAACGAUGUGGGAAGGCCCAGACAGCCAGGAUGUUGGCUUAGAAGCAGCCAUCAUUUAAAGAAAGCGUAAUAGCUCACUGGUCGAGUCGGCCUGCGCGGAAGAUGUAACGGGGCUAAACCAUGCACCGAAGCUGCGGCAGCGACGCUGAUGCGUUGUUGGGUAGGGGAGCGUUCUGUAAGCCUGCGAAGGUGUGCUGUGAGGCAUGCUGGAGGUAUCAGAAGUGCGAAUGCUGACAUAAGUAACGAUAAAGCGGGUGAAAAGCCCGCUCGCCGGAAGACCAAGGGUUCCUGUCCAACGUUAAUCGGGGCAGGGUGAGUCGACCCCUAAGGCGAGGCCGAAAGGCGUAGUCGAUGGGAAACAGGUUAAUAUUCCUGUACUUGGUGUUACUGCGAAGGGGGGACGGAGAAGGCUAUGUUGGCCGGGCGACGGUUGUCCCGGUUUAAGCGUGUAGGCUGGUUUUCCAGGCAAAUCCGGAAAAUCAAGGCUGAGGCGUGAUGACGAGGCACUGCGGUGCUGAAGCAACAAAUGCCCUGCUUCCAGGAAAAGCCUCUAAGCAUCAGGUAACAUCAAAUCGUACCCCAAACCGACACAGGUGGUCAGGUAGAGAAUACCAAGGCGCUUGAGAGAACUCGGGUGAAGGAACUAGGCAAAAUGGUGCCGUAACUUCGGGAGAAGGCACGCUGAUAUGUAGG